AACGUAGGAGACAAACGAUGUCCGGAUUUAUUGGGCGUAAAGAGCUCUUAGGCGGCUCGGUAAGUCGGGUGUGAAAACUCGGGGCUCAACCCCGAGACGCCACUCGAUACUGCCAUGGCUUGAGUCCGGUAGGGGAGUGUGGAAUUCCUGGUGUAGCGGUGAAAUGCGCAGAUAUCAGGAGGAACACCGAUGGCGAAGGCAGCACUCUGGGCCGGUACUGACGCUGAGGAGCGAAAGCGUGUGGAGCAAACAGG
rnacentral:rRNA from 1 species